rnacentral:lncRNA from 1 species
UUUAGGGAAUGAAGUGUGACAGACGCUUGAUUGGACAGAGAGUAAUCUGAUGCUGAUCAGGGGAGGGGAAUGGACCAAGGCCUGUUUGGUUGGAAUCUUCUCGGCGUCCCUGUAUCCUUAGGUCUUCAGAGAUAAGGCUGUUUCUUUCCGCUGGGCACAGGAAUCAGCUUUCGUGAGAAGGGUUUUGCCGUGUAGCCCGGACUGGCCUUGAAUUUGUACUGAUCUCCUGCCUCAGCCUCCUUAGGACUGGAAUUACAGGUGUGCACUAUGACCAUGCCAAGCUGUUUGCCUUUUUUUUUUUUUUUUUCUGCAGUGCUGGGGAAUAGAUUCUUGGGCCUCCCAUGUGCUAGGCAAGCUCUGCCACUGAGCCACACCUCUGCCCCUGACUUUACUUCUGGAACCAUGGAUAUUUUCAAUCCAUGGUGACUGAAAACCUUUCUAGUGCUUUCUUUUAUUCCAUUGUGGGUUUUACCAAACCACCUACACUAAGGCCCCCUGUUGACCUUCCUUCUGGCAGCUGCCCCUGGACAGUGACCAUAGGUGACAAGUGGCAGGCUUAGCUCACCAGAUACCCUUCCCUGGCAUCUCUGAGGACCUGAAGGCUGGAAUUCCGGCCUGCCCAGAAUCACUCCUCUGCACAUUUCCACAGAUGUUUCUCUUUUGUAAGCCAUGGAACCAUACACUGUAUAUUAGAAAAUUCCAUUUCAAAUGAAUUAAAAAUUUAAGGGGCCAGGGAUUUAGCUCAGUGGUUUCCCCACCUGCUGCGCAAGCGCAAGGACCAGAGUUCGAUCCCCGGUUCAAAAAAAAUAAAAAAAAUUUAAGAAGAUUGGCUUUCAAAGGAUUGGUUUUAACUAUCUGAAAUGUUUACUUAUGUGGAACAGCUCAUUCUCUAUGAAAGGAGGCCUCACUGCACUCAUUCAUGAAAAUGGAAACAAUCGGUUGGGUGUGGUGGCCCACAUCUGUAAUCCCAGCACUCUGAAGGCUGAGGCAGGAGGAUCAAGGGUUCGAGGCCAGCCUGGGCAACUUAGCAAAACGCUGUCUCAAAAAAGAAAAUGAGAAAAUGGGAACAAUCAGAGCUUUGUGUUUCAGGGAGGGCUUUGAAAUCUUAGAGACCCAAGUAUGGAGCCCUGUUCCAGGCUGGUCUUUGUCUGUUCGUUCAUCUUCAAAGUGCAGUAAUAACAAGGGUCUCAUGGGGUUGUUGGGAGAAUUAAGGCAGAGCCCUUUGUAUAGAGUCACUUCUACAACUGCUCAAAAGAGUUUUUUUUUUUUUUUUUUUUUUUUUUUUGGUGAAACCAUGCUUAAUCAGAGCAAGUAAUUUAGAAGAUCAGACUGG